AAAAAUUAAUAAUAAGUAAAUAUACAAUUAAGAAAUGGAAAUAAAUAAAUUAACUCUAUCUGAAAAAUCUAUAGUAGAAUAAAUAAUAAGUAAAUAUACAAUAUAAGAAAUAAAAAUAUUAUAUUAAACAUCUAUUGUAAUAUUAGACUAAGUUAUAUAUACAAUACAAAAAAAAAUAAACAAUAAGUAAAUAUAUAGUAAAAUAAAUAUAAAUAUUACAUUAAACAUCUAAUUUAAUAUUAUCAUUUGAUAUAAAAGCAAAAAAUUGGAAUAAUUAAAUAUACAAUAUAUAAAAAUAAACAAUAAGUAAAUAUACAAUAUCAAAAAUGGAAAAACUAAAUUAAACAUCUAUGUGAAAAAUGUAUAAUAAAAUAAAUAAUAAGUAAAAAUACACAUAAAAAACAAAAAAACAUAUUACAUUAAACAUCUAUUAUAAUAUUAGAAUAAGUAAAUAUAAAAUAUAUAAAAAAAAAUAACAAGUAAAUAUAUAAUAUAAGAAAUAGAAAACUACAUUAAACAUCUAUCUGAAAAAUAUAUAAUAAAAUAAAUAAUAAGUAAAUAUAUUGUAUAAGAAACAUAAAUAUUAUAUUAAACAUCUAUCGUACUAUUAGAAUUCGAUAUAAAAUCAAAACAAUUAUAAUAAGUAAAUAUAAAAUAUAAGAACAAAUAAGUAAUAAGUAAAUAUACAACCUUUGCAAAGUUUACUGUAGAGCAGAUCUGUCCAAAUUUUUUCUGAUCCCUCAUAUGGUCUUCUUGAAUCAGCUUUUAUUUCUUAUACCAGUCUCCAGUAAGCAAAAAUAAUUUCUAAAAUAUUAAGGGUAAAUCUUAAAAAGUUGUAACAGUUUUCUAAAAACCAAAAUAUAUAUUAUUUCAAAGGGUAAAUCUUAAAAAAUCUAAUUAUUUUUGUUCUUCUUUAUUUCUCUUAUAUACUAAAGUACAAGUCACUUGACCGACCAAAUUUGACAUGUGUAAUUUCCUUACAAAGCCUUAAAAAAAGUAAUCUGUUUUCAAAAAGUUCAAAUUUAACAUACUACCAAAAAAAAAUCAAAACUGUCUCAAGUUCCUUUAGUUUUAUGUAAUAGAUGAUGUUAUCUGUCAAGCGAAGGUAACAGCGGACGAUGUGCUUUAGAAGCCUAGGAGAAGGUGCUUCUGCAAGUGAAGUCACCAUAUUCCCCAAAAGUCGACUCAGAGCAAAGAAUCUAUCCACACAGACGCACAUGUAACGAAGCCCUUUGUUGUCCAGCAAAAUUUUCUGAAUAAUGAAGGUUGCAACCUGACAUUAAAAAAAAACAAAAACAAAUCAAUCUAAUGAGCUGUUGCAUUGCCGAAAUCAAUCAUAAGAAGCAUCUGAAAGUAGAGAAAACUCACAGUUUUUGAUAACUCGCUGCCACUUUCCAUUGUCUGGAGGCACAAUGGGAUGAUUUCAGUUUCAAGAAGGAACUUGAUCACUUCCGUAUCCUCAACCUACCAAAACAAAUGAACAAUGUUGCUAACACCAAUAUAAAAAUAACAAUGAUUCUGUGAUGUCUUAACAGUUUUCACUCAAAGGUUUUAGCAUGUUAAAAUGGUUGAUUAAUUCUCAGACUAUAUACUUGCCAGGGGAAUGUGGUUUUAAUAGCUAGACAUACCUUGACAAGUGCACCAAAUAUUAUAAGAAUGAUGAAACUUGCUCCUCAUGAACAAAAACAUUUGUUAGCAUCAUCGAUACUCAAAGAAGGUGCUGCAUGGACCGAUGAUAAUAUCAAAGGUGGAUAUGGAGUGAUACAAAAGCUGAUUAGGGAAAUCAAAUUACAUGAAACCUAUCUUUCUAUGAUAAGGAAGAAGAUUUCGGAAGAAAAAAAAUUAGUUCUACUUUUACAUCAGUAUAUAUAUAAUGAAAUUUAACAAUCUUCAUUUAUCCAAGAAUAAUUACUCAAUGUUUAAUCAUAUCAAAUGUUGAAAUUUAAAACACACCAUGAGCAUAAUGUAAUUGUUGCGAGUUAAUCACUUAACUGUGCAUGCGUUAUAGUGAUCAUAAAAGAAGAGACACUUUGAAAAUGUGUAUUAAAAUUAAAAAAAAAAAAUCAUUGAACAACCAAUUCAGUAGUUAAUAAUUUCUUCUAUUAUACAUUUUCUAAUGAUAAUACAGUUAUGUGAGUUGCAAAUACAUUUAUGUAUACAAGAUUGACAAAUAAAAAUUUAUACUAAUGAAAUAGACCUUUUGAGGUUCCAUGGGAUGUCCACAUAAUCAAAAAAAAUCUCCCGAAAAAUACCACGUGGCAUUAUUGCUAAAAAAUAAAAGUAUAUACAAUACAAAGAAAAAAAAUAAUAAGUAAUAUAUUGAUAAAAUAAAUAUUACAUUGAACAUUUAUUAUAAUAUUAGAAGAAGUAAAUAUAAAAUAUAAGAAAAAUAAAUAAGAAAAAAUAUAAUAAAACUACAAUUAGAAAACUAAAAAAUCUAUCUGAAAAAUAUAUAAUAAAUAAGUAUAUUGUAUUAGAAAUAGAUAUUAUUAAACAUCUAUCGUAUAUAUUAAAUUUGAUAUAAAAGCAAAAGAAUUAGAAUAAGUAAAUAUACAAUAUGAUAAAAAAAAAAUAUGCAAUAUUUGAACACAUAAAUAUUUAAUAUAAAAAUAAAUAAUAAAUAAAUAUACAAUAAAAAAUGGAAAUAAAUAAAUUAACUAUCUAUCUGAAAAAUCUAAAGUAGAAUAAAUAAUAAGUAAAUAUACAAUAUAAGAAAUAAAGAUAUUAUAUUAUACAUCUAUUGUAAUAUUAGACUAAGUAUAUAUACAAUACAAAAAAAUAAACAAUAAGUAAAUAUAUAGUAUAAUAAAUAUAAAUAUUACAUUAAACAUCUAAUUUAAUAUUAUCAUUUGAUAUAAAAGCAAAAAAUUGGAAUAAUUAAAUAUACAAUAUAUAAAAAUAAACAAUAAGUAAAUAUAAAAUAUCAAAAAUGGAAAAAAUAAAUUAAACAUCUAUGUGAAAAAUGUAUAAUAAAAUAAAUAAUAAGUAAAGAUACACAUAAAAAACAAAAAAAACAUAUUACAUUAAACAUCUAUUAUAAUAUUAGGAUAAGUAAAUAUAAAAUAAAAAAAAAAAAAAAUAACAAGUAAAUAUAUAAUAUAAGAACUAGAAAACUACAUUAAACAUCUAUCUGAAAAAUAUAUAAUAAAAUAAAUAAUAAGUAAAUAUAUUGUAUAAGAAACAUAAAUAUUAUAUUAAACAUCUAUCGUAAUAUUAGAAUUCGAUAUAAAAUCAAAACAAUUAUAAUAAGUAAAUAUAAAAUAUAAGAACAAAUAAAUAAUAAGUAAAUAUACAACCUUUGCAAACUUUACUGUAGAGCAGAUCUGUCCAAAUUUUUUCUGAUCCCUCAUAUGGUCUUCUUGAAUCAGCUUUUAUUUCUUAUACCAGUCUCCAGUAAGCAAAAAUAAUUUCUAAAAUAUUAAGGGUAAAUCUUAAAAAGUUGUAACAGUUUUCUAAAAACCAAAAUAUAUAUUAUUUCAAAGGGUAAAUCUUAAAAAAUCUAAUUAUUUUUGUUCUUCUUUAUUUCUCUUAUAUACUAAAGUACAAGUCACUUGACCGACCAAAUUUGACAUAUGUAAUUUCCUUACAAAGCCUUAAAAAAAGUAAUUUGUUUUCAAAAAGUUAAAAUUUAACAUACUACCAAAAAAAAAUCAAAACUGUCUCAAGUUCCUUUAGUUUUAUGUAAUAGAUGAUGUUAUCUGUCAAGCGAAGGUAACAGCGGACGAUGUGCUUUAGAAGCCUAGGAGAAGGUGCUUCUGCAAGUGAAGUCACCAUAUUCCCCAAAACUCGACUCAGAGCAAAGAAUCUAUCCACACAGACGCACAUGUAACGAAGCCCUUCGUUGUCCAGCAAAAUUUUCUGGAUAAUGAAGGUUGCAACCUGACAUUAAAAAAAAAAACAAAAACAAAUCAAUCUAAUGAGCUGUUGCAUUGCCGAAAUCAAUCAUAAGAAGCAUCUGAAAGUAGAGAAAACUCACAGUUUUUGAUAACUCGCUGCCACUUUCCAUUGUCUGGAGGCACAAUGGGAUGAUUUCAGUUUCAAGAAGGAACUUGAUCACUUCCGUAUCCUCAACCUACCAAAACAAAUGAACAAUGUUGCUAACACCAAUAUAAAAAUAACAAUGAUUCUGUGAUGUCUUAACAGUUUUCACUCAAAGGUUUUAGCAUGUUAAAAUGGUUAAUUUAAUUCUCAGAUUAUAUACUUGCCAGGGGAAUAUGGUUUUAAUAGCUAGACAUACCUUGACAAGUGCACCAAAUAUUAUAAGAAUGAUGAAACUUGAUCCUCAUGAUCAAAAACAUUUGUUAGCAUCAUCGAUACUCAAAGAAGGUGCUGCAUGGAUCGAUGAUAAUAUCAGAGGUGGAUAUGGAGUGAUACAAAAGCUGAUUAGGGAAAUCAAAUUACAUGAAACCUAUCUUUCUAUGAUAAGGAAGAAGAUUUCAGAAGAAAAAAAAUUAGUUCUACUUUUACAUCAGUAUAUAUAUAUAAUGAAAUUUAACAAUCUUCAUUUAUCCAAGAAUAAUUACUCAAUGUUUAAUCAUAUCAAAUGUUGAAAUUUAAAACACACCAUGAGCAUAAUGUAAUUGUUGCGAGUUAAUCACUUAAUUGUGCAUACGUUAUAGUGAUCAUAAAAGAAGAGACACUUUGAAAAUGUGUAUUGAAAUUUAAAAAAAAAAAUCAUUGAACAACCAAUUCAGUAGUUAAUAAUUUCUUCUAUUAUACAUUUUCUAAUGAUAAUACAGUUAUGUGAGUUGCAAAUACAUUUAUGUAUACAAGAUUGACAAAUAAAAAUUUAUACUAAUGAAAUAGACCUUUUGAGGUUCCAUGGGAUGUCCACAUAAUCAAAAAAAAAUCUCCCGAAAAAUACCACGUGGCAUUAUUGCUAAAAAAUAAAAAGUAAAUAUACAAUACAAAGAAAAAUAAAUAAUAAGUAAUAUAUAAUAUAAAAAUAGAAAUAUUACAUUGAACAUUUAUUAUAAUAUUAGAAGAAGUAAAUAUAAAAUAUAAGAAAAAUAAAUAAGAAGUAAAUAUAUAAUAUAAGAAAUAGAAAACUACAUUAAAAAUCUAUCUGAAAAAUAUAUAAUAAAAAAUAAUAAGUAAAUAUAUUGUAUAAGAAAUAGAGAUAUUACAUUAAACAUCUAUCGUAAUAUUAGAAUUUGAUAUAAAAGCAAAACAAUUAGAAUAGGUAAAUAUACAAUAUGAUAAAAAAAUGUAAAUAUGCAAUAUUUGAACACAUAAAUAUUUAAUAUAAAAAUAAAUAAUAAAUAAAUAUACAAUUAAGAAAUGGAAAUAAAUAAAUUAACUAUCUAUCUGAAAAAUCUAAAGUAGAAUAAAUAAUAAGUAAAUAUAUAAUAUAAGAAAUAAAAAUAUUAUAUUAUACAUCUAUUGUAAUAUUAGACUAAGUAUAUAUACAAUACAAAAAAAAAACAAUAAGUAAAUAUAUAGUAUAAUAAAUAUAAAUAUUACAUUAAACAUCUAAUUUAAUAUUAUCAUUUGAUAUAAAAGCAAAAAAUUGGAAUAAUUAAAUAUAAAAUAUAUAAAAAUAAACAAUAAGUAAAUAUAAAAUAUCAAAAAUAGAAAAACUAAAUUAAACAUCUAUGUGAAAAAUGUAUAAUAAAAUAAAUAAUAAGUAAAAAUACACAUAAAAAGCAAAAAAAACAUAUUACAUUAAACAUCUAUUAUAAUAUUAGAAUAAGUAAAUAUAAAGUAUAAGAAAAAUAAAUAACAAGUAAAUAUAUAAUAUAAGAACUAGAAAACUACAUUAAACAUCUAUCUGAAAAAUAUAUAAUAAAAUAAAUAAUAAGUAAAUAUAUUGUAUAAGAAACAGAAAUAUUAUAUUAAACAUCUAUCGUAAUAUUAGAAUUCGAUAUAAAAUCAAAACAAUUAUAAUAAGUAAAUAUAAAAUAUAAGAACAAAUAAAUAAUAAGUAAAUAUACAACCUUUGCAAAGUUUACUGUAGAGCAGAUCUGUCCAAAUUUUUUCUGAUCCCUCAUAUGGUCUUCUUGAAACAGCUUUUAUUUCUUAUACCAGUCUCCAGUAAGCAAAAAUAAUUUCUAAAAUAUUAAGGGUAAAUCUUAAAAAGUUGUAACAGUUUUCUAAAAACCAAAAUAUAUAAUAUUUCAAAGGGUAAAUCUUAAAAAAAUCUAAUUAUUUUUGUUCUUAUUUAUUUCUCUUAUAUACUAAAGUACAAGUCACUUGACCGACCAAAUUUGACAUGUGUAAUUUCCUUACAAAGCCUUAAAAAAAAGUAAUAUGUUUUCACAAAGUUCAAAUUUAACAUACUACCAAAAAAAAAUCAAAACUAUCUCAAGUUCCUUUAAUUUUAUGUAAUAGAAGAUGUUAUCUGUCAAGCGAAGGUAACAGCGGACGAUGUGCUUUAGAAGCCUAGGAGAAGGUGCUUCUGCAAGUGAAGUCACCAUAUUCCCCAAAACUCGACUCAGAGCAAAGAAUCUAUCCACACAGACGCACAUGUAACGAAGCCCUUCGUUGUCCAGCAAAAUUUUCUGGAUAAUGAAGGUUGCAACCUGACAUUAAAAAAAAAAAAAAACAAAUCAAUCUAAUGGGCUGUUGCAUUGCCGAAAUCAAUCAUAAGAAGCAUCUGAAAGUAGAGAAAACUCACAGUUUUUGAUAACUCGCUGCCACUUUCCAUUGUCUGGAGGCACAAUGGGAUGAUUUCAGUUUCAAGAAGGAACUUGAUCACUUCCGUAUCCUCAACCUACCAAAACAAAUGAACAAUGUUGCUAACACCAAUAUAAAAAUAACAAUGAUUCUGUGAUGUCUUAACAGUUUUCACUCAAAGGUUUUAGCAUGUUAAAAUGGUUGAUUAAUUCUCAGAUUAUAUACUUGCCAGGGGAAAAUGGUUUUAAUAGCUAGACAUACCUUGACAAGUGCACCAAAUAUUAUAAGAAUGAUGAAACUUGAUCCUCAUGAACAAAAAACAUUUGUUAGCAUCAUCGAUACUCAAAGAAGGUGCUGCAUGGAUCGAUGAUAAUAUCAGAGGUGGAUAUGGAGUGAUACAAAAGCUGAUUAGGGAAAUCAAAUUACAUGAAACCUAUCUUUCUAUGAUAAGGAAGAAGAUUUCAGAAGAAAAAAAAUUAGUUCUACUUUUACAUCAGUAUAUAUAUAUAAUGAAAUUUAACAAUCUUCAUUUAUCCAAGAAUAAUUACUCAAUGUUUAAUCAUAUCAAAUGUUGAAAUUUAAAACACACCAUGAGCAUAAUGUAAUUGUUGCGAGUUAAUCACUUAAUUGUGCAUGCAUUAUAGUGAUCAUAAAAGAAGAGACACUUUGAAAAUGUGUAUUGAAAUUUAAAAAAAAAUCAUUGAACAACCAAUUCAGUAGUUAAUAAUUUCUUCUAUUAUAUAUUUUCUAAUGAUAAUAUAGUUAUGUGAGUUGGAAAUACAUUUAUGUAUACAAGAUUGACAAAUAAAAAUUUAUACUAAUGAAAUAGACAUUUUGAGGUUCCAUGGGAUGUCCACAUAAUCAAAGUAAAAUCUCCCAAAAAAUACCACGUGGCAUUAUUGCUAAAAAAUAAAAAGUAAAUAUACAAUACAAAGAAAUAUAAAUAAUAAGUAAUAUAUAAUAUAAAAAUAGAAAUAUUACAUUGAACAUUUAUUAUAAUAUUAGAAGAAGUAAAUAUAAAAUAUAAGAAAAAUAAAUAAGAAGUAAAUAUAUAAUAUAAGAAAUAGAAAACUACAUUAAAAAUCUAUCUGAAAAAUAUAUAAUAAAAAAAUAAUAAGUAAAUAUAUUGUAUAAGAAAUAGAGAUAUUACAUUAAACAUCUAUCGUAAUAUUAGAAUUUGAUAUAAAAGCAAAACAAUUAGAAUAGGUAAAUAUACAAUAUGAUAAAAAAAAUGUAAAUAUGCAAUAUUUGAACACAUAAAUAUUUAAUAUAAAAAUAAAUAAUAAAUAAAUAUACAAUUAAGAAAUGGAAAUAAAUAAAUUAACUAUCUAUCUGAAAAAUCUAAAGUAGAAUAAAUAAUAAGUAAAUAUAUAAUAUAAGAAAUAAAAAUAUUAUAUUAUACAUCUAUUGUAAUAUUAGACUAAGUAUAUAUACAAUACAAAAAAAAAACAAUAAGUAAAUAUAUAGUAUAAUAAAUAUAAAUAUUACAUUAAACAUCUAAUUUAAUAUUAUCAUUUGAUAUAAAAGCAAAAAAUUGGAAUAAUUAAAUAUAAAUAUAUAAAAAUAAACAAUAAGUAAAUAUAAAAUAUCAAAAAUAGAAAAACUAAAUUAAACAUCUAUGUGAAAAAUGUAUAAUAAAAUAAAUAAUAAGUAAAAAUACACAUAAAAGCAAAAAAACAUAUUACAUUAAACAUCUAUUAUAAUAUUAGAAUAAGUAAAUAUAAAGUAUAAGAAAAAUAAAUAACAAGUAAAUAUAUAAUAUAAGAACUAGAAAACUACAUUAAACAUCUAUCUGAAAAAUAUAUAAUAAAAUAAAUAAUAAGUAAAUAUAUUGUAUAAGAAACAGAAAUAUUAUAUUAAACAUCUAUCGUAAUAUUAGAAUUCGAUAUAAAAUCAAAACAAUUAUAAUAAGUAAAUAUAAAAUAUAAGAACAAAUAAAUAAUAAGUAAAUAUACAACCUUUGCAAAGUUUACUGUAGAGCAGAUCUGUCCAAAUUUUUUCUGAUCCCUCAUAUGGUCUUCUUGAAUCAGCUUUUAUUUCUUAUACCAGUCUCCAGUAAGCAAAAAUAAUUUCUAAAAUAUUAAGGGUAAAUCUUAAAAAGUUGUAACAGUUUUCUAAAAACCAAAAUAUAUAAUAUUUCAAAGGGUAAAUCUUAAAAAAUCUAAUUAUUUUUGUUCUUAUUUAUUUCUCUUAUAUACUAAAGUACAAGUCACUUGACCGACCAAAUUUGACAUGUGUAAUUUCCUUACAAAGCCCUAAAAAAAGUAAUCUGUUUUCACAAAGUUCAAAUUUAACAUACUACCAAAAAAAAUCAAAACUAUCUCAAGUUCCUUUAAUUUUAUGUAAUAGAAGAUGUUAUCUGUCAAGCGAAGGUAACAGCGGACGAUGUGCUUUAGAAGCCUAGGAGAAGGUGCUUCUGCAAGUGAAGUCACCAUAUUCCCCAAAACUCGACUCAGAGCAAAGAAUCUAUCCACACAGACGCACAUGUAACGAAGCCCUUCGUUGUCCAGCAAAAUUUUCUGGAUAAUGAAGGUUGCAACCUGACAUUAAAAAAAAAACAAAAACAAAUCAAUCUAAUGGGCUGUUGCAUUGCCGAAAUCAAUCAUAAGAAGCAUCUGAAAGUAGAGAAAACUCACAGUUUUUGAUAACUCGCUGCCACUUUCCAUUGUCUGGAGGCACAAUGGGAUGAUUUCAGUUUCAAGAAGGAACUUGAUCACUUCCGUAUCCUCAACCUACCAAAACAAAUGAACAAUGUUGCUAACACCAAUAUAAAAAUAACAAUGAUUCUGUGAUGUCUUAACAGUUUUCACUCAAAGGUUUUAGCAUGUUAAAAUGGUUGAUUAAUUCUCAGAUUAUAUACUUGCCAGGGGAAAAUGGUUUUAAUAGCUAGACAUACCUUGACAAGUGCACCAAAUAUUAUAAGAAUGAUGAAACUUGAUCCUCAUGAACAAAAAACAUUUGUUAGCAUCAUCGAUACUCAAAGAAGGUGCUGCAUGGAUCGAUGAUAAUAUCAGAGGUGGAUAUGGAGUGAUACAAAAGCUGAUUAGGGAAAUCAAAUUACAUGAAACCUAUCUUUCUAUGAUAAGGAAGAAGAUUUCAGAAGAAAAAAAAUUAGUUCUACUUUUACAUCAGUAUAUAUAUAUAAUGAAAUUUAACAAUCUUCAUUUAUCCAAGAAUAAUUACUCAAUGUUUAAUCAUAUCAAAUGUUGAAAUUUAAAACACACCAUGAGCAUAAUGUAAUUGGUGCGAGUUAAUCACUUAAUUGUGCAUGCGUUAUAGUGAUCAUAAAAGAAGAGACACUUUGAAAAUGUGUAUUGAAAUUUUUUAAAAAAAAAAUCAUUGAACAACCAAUUCAGUAGUUAAUAAUUUCUUCUAUUAUACAUUUUCUAAUGAUAAUACAGUUAUGUGAGUUGCAAAUACAUUUAUGUAUACAAGAUUGACAAAUAAAAAUUUAUACUAAUGAAAUAGACCUUUUGAGGUUCCAUGGGAUGUCCACAUAAUCAAAGUAAAAUCUCCUGAAAAAUACCACGUGGCAUUAUUGCUAAAAAAUAAAAAGUAAAUAUACAAUACAAAGAAAUAUAAAUAAUAAGUAAUAUAUAAUAUAAAAAUAGAAAUAUUACAUUGAACAUUUAUUAUAAUAUUAGAAGAAGUAAAUAUAAAAUAUAAGAAAAAUAAAUAAGAAGUAAAUAUAUAAUAUAAGAAAUAGAAAACUACAUUAAAAAUCUAUCUGAAAAAUAUAUAAUAAAAAAAUAAUAAGUAAAUAUAUUGUAUAAAAAAGAGAUAUUACAUUAAACAUCUAUCGUAAUAUUAGAAUUUGAUAUAAAAGCAAAACAAUUAGAAUAAGUAAAUAUACAAUAUGAUAAAAAAAAUGUAAAUAUGCAAUAUUUGAACACAUAAAUAUUUAAUAUAAAAAUAAAUAAUAAAUAAAUAUAAAUUAAGAAAUGGAAAUAAAUAAAUUAACUAUCUAUCUGAAAAAUCUAAAGUAGAAUAAAUAAUAAGUAAAUAUACAAUAUAAGAAAUAAAAAUAUUAUAUUAUACAUGUAUUGUAAUAUUAGACUAAGUAUAUAUACAAUACAAAAAAAUAAACAAUAAGUAAAUAUAUAGUAUAAUAAACAUAAAUAUUACAUUAAACAUCUAAUUUAAUAUUAUCAUUUGAUAUAAAAGCAAAAAAUUGGAAUAAUUAAAUAUACAAUAUAUAAAAAUAAACAAUAAGUAAAUAUAAAAUAUCAAAAAUGGAAAAACUAAAAUUAAACAUCUAUGUGAAAAAUGUAUAAUAAAAUAAAUAAUAAGUAAAAAUACACAUAAAAAAAAACAUAUUACAUUAAACAUCUAUUAUAAUAUUAGAAUAAGUAAAUCUAAAAUAAAAGAAAAUAAAUAACAAGUAAAUAUAUAAUAUAAGAACUAGAAAACUACAUUAAACAUCUAUCUGAAAAAUAUAUAAUAAAAUAAAUAAUAAGUAAAUAUAUUGUAUAAGAAACAUAAAUAUUAUAUUAAACAUCUAUCGUAAUAUUAGAAUUCAAUAUAAAAUCAAAACAAUUAUAAUAAGUAAAUAUAAAAUAUAAGAACAAAUAAAUAAAAAGUAAAUAUACAACCUUUGCAAAGUUUACCGUAGAGCAGAUCUGUCCAAAUUUUUUAUGAUCCCUCAUAUGGUCUUCUUGAAUCAGCUUUUAUUUCUUAUACCAGUCUCCAGUAAGCAAAAAUAAUUUCUAAAAUAUUAAGGGUAAAUCUUAAAAAGUUGUAACAGUUUUCUAAAAACCAAAAUAUAUAUUAUUUCGAAGGGUAAAUCUUAAAAAAUCUAUUUAUUUUUGGUCUUAUUUAUUUCUCUUAUAUACUAAAGUACAAGUCACUUGGCCGACCAAAUUUGACAUGUGUAAUUUCCUUACAAAGCCUUAAAAAAGGUAAUCUGUUUUCAAAAAGUUAAAAUUUAACAUACUACCAAAAAAAAAUCAAAACUGUCUUAAGUUCCUUUAGUUUUAUGUAAUAGAUGAUGUUAUCUGUCAAGCGAAGGUAACAGCGGACGAUGUGCUUUAGAAGCCUAGGAGAAGGUGCUUCUUCAAGUGAAGUCACCAUAUUCCCCAAAACUCGACUCGGAGCAAAGAAUCUAUCCACACAGACGCACAUGUAACGAAGCCCUUCGUUGUCCAGCAAAAUU
rnacentral:lncRNA from 1 species